CAAAUUUUCUUGAAAAUCAAAACCGGGUCACCAUUUCCUCCUUCAACCAAAUCCUACUUUACCCUUUCUUUCUUCCUUUAUUCCCCACAUUCGCGUUUCAUCGCUUUCUCUUUCCUUUAUUCUCCUUCCUUCCUUCCUCUUUCUUAACAAUUUUCGAUUUUCCGAUCAGAUCCGUAACACUCAAUUCAUCAAAAACCUCUCUUACUCAUCCAUGACGCUUGGCUCAGGAGGAUCCAGUGUCGUGGUUCCAAGGAACUUCAGAUUGCUGGAGGAGCUUGAACGAGGAGAAAAAGGGAUUGGUGAUGGCACAGUUAGCUAUGGAAUGGAUGAUGGUGAUGACAUUUACAUGCGCUCUUGGACUGGCACCAUCAUUGGCCCCCAUAAUACGGUUCAUGAAGGAAGAAUUUAUCAAUUGAAGCUGUUUUGUGAUAAAGACUACCCGGAAAAGCCCCCAAGCGUUCGGUUUCAUUCACGGAUUAAUAUGACUUGUGUUAAUCAUGAAACUGGAGUGGUAUCAGUUACAAUUUUCACAUGCCUUUAUCUUCUAAAUAUAUAUGCAGUUCAUGCUGUUGAUGGAUAUAUGAAGUUGCAAACUGUGCUAACACAAUGUCUUAAGCUUUUUGGUGAUAACUCUGAGACCAAUGUUUUUAGAGAUGUAAUCAACAUUUGUUUGGGUUUUGAGGAAGGAAAUAAUGGAAUAUAUAUAAAUUAUUCAUUCACAAAAAAGUACAGGGUUGCCUCAUCACCAUUCCCAAUCCGCUUUGCAUAUUAUCAUAACAAGAAAUAUUGAAAUCUCGAGCUUAAAGACUGUUAGUGUAAAUCUAUUUUACAUUGACAUUCAAUCAGAUUUGGUUGUUUUGCCAUGUCAUCCCACUCAUAUAGGUUGAACCAAAGAAAUUUAGCCUUCUUGCAAAUUGGCAAAGAGAGUACACCAUGGAGGAUAUACUGACCCAGUUGAAGAAAGAAAUGGCAACACCUCAUAACCGGAAGCUUGUCCAGCCUCCCGAAGGCACUUACUUUUAGCAUCUCAAAAUCAUAUAGUUGUUUGGAUCAUAUUGCAUUUGCAGUAUGCAACAUACAGUGUGUAAUGCUUUGUGGAUCCUUCUGAAUUCAAGAACAUGUAGGGGAAUGCCCCAAAAAGCUUCAUGUUUCCAUCUCCAUGGCUUCAGAGUUGUUUUUGUUGUCUUACUUUGUCAACUGUACUGAAGGGAUGCUGUUUGAUGAAAUUAUGUGUGUCAAAUAUUGAAAGCAACUAUUUAAGUAGUAUUUUUCCUUCAGAUUACAAUGGUAUUUUCAAUUUUAGUCUUUGCUUCCUUUUGCUUUACUUUCUUUCCUGCCUUGUAAGUAAGCUGGAGCUUAAUGGAAAAUUGGAAGUAUCUAUUUGGAUGUGUC